CGCAUUAUGCUCUGUAAUUGGAAAACGCACAUAUCCACGUUACAGAGGUUUUUAUACUAUGCCAUAAUAUAGUCUAUUAUAAAAAAAAAAUUCUCUUUGGCAGUUGGCUGCUUUUGUCCUUGCAGUGUUUAGUGUUUACAAAUUACAAGGGGCUUGCCGCUUGAGACAAUAUUACUUUGCGACAGCCUCGACUGGUUUUCGUCAGGUAACCAAAGAGUAUAUGCUAUGAGCUUUUUUUCUUUGGCCAACGACAAAAAUAACUACGUGGUGCUCCAACUCCAAACAAUAACCGCUUAACAUAAUUCACACGGCAAUCGGCAUACGUAGUGCGUGAUGGUUAUUAUCAAGAAAUAUUAAGUUAUAUAUAAAUAAAAAAGCAAGAUAUUUGAUAAGGAGUUUCAAUAUUACAACCGUAUUCCAAGGACGGCUACAUGAACUCCAAGAGAAUAGAAGCCUUACUUGAUAGUGAUGAUGAGUAUCCAUCUUCAUACAAAGAGGAACCGGCACUUCCUGCAUAUCAAAAUGAUUACAGAUUUGAACCUAUAGUAUUUAAAUGGAUAGAAAAUUAUGUAUCUGUUUCUCAGCAGAAAAGAAGAUUCCAAAAUUCAGAUAAUAUUAGGCAUGAAUAUAUAACCACAGGGUAUUUAAGCCAAAAAGAUUUAUUUUGCCUUAAAGCAGUUGCUAAAACUUCCAGUGAUGAUACAUUUUUAUGGUUGGUGGACUUCUUUGUACGCAAGGAUAUUCAGUCAAGAUAUGGAAGCAAUCUUAAAAGUUGUCUUAUUAUAAAUUUCCCAGAAACACCAGAAAUGCCCAUAAAUGAAGGAACUGAUGGGCAAAAAUUUUACAAAAAAUAUAAAAUAGUUGUCAAAGUCUAAAAUUACAAUGCCAGAGAAAUAGUUUAUUGUAUUAAUAAUGUCCUAAUGUUUAAUAAAAGUUUAUAAUUACUGAA